AAUGAAUGCUGGCGGCAUGGAUUAGGCAUGCAAGUUGAACGAGAAUCUAGCUUCGGUUAGAGGACAGUAGCGAAAGGGUGAGUAACGCGUGAAUGAUCUACCUCUAAGUUUGGAAUAACAGUUGGAAACGACUGCUAAUACCGGAUGUGAAUAUAAAGAUGCAUGUCUUAAUAUUUAAGGAUUUAUCGCUUAGAGAUGAGCUCGCGUGCCAUUAUGUUAGUUGGUAAGGUAACGGCUUACCAAGACUAUGACGGCUAGGUGGUCUGAGAGGACGAUCACCCACACUGGGACUGAGACACUGCCCAG
rnacentral:rRNA from 1 species